GCACCGGUGGUUCAGUGGUAGAAUACUCGCCUGCCACGCGGGUGACCCGGGUUCGAUUCCCUGCUUGUGCA
rnacentral:tRNA from 1 species